rnacentral:rRNA from 1 species
AUGCUGACAGAUCAGUGCAGAUCUAUGGAGAUCGCAAUAAAGAAUGUACUGCCAAGUUGCACACACCGUUGGUGCAAAUGGCACAUGCUUAAGAAGGCAAAGGAAACUUUUGGUCGAUACUACACUAAGCAUAGCAACUUUAGAGCAGAUUUCCAUAAAAUAGUUCAUCACAUGCUGACAGAAGACGAAUUUGAAAAUGCAUGGAAGAUGGUAAUAGACACGUAUGGGCUCCAGAAGAACAACUAUCUCAUUAAUCUAUACGAGGUUAGGGCCAAGUGGGCAAAACCUUAUUUCAAAGGCAAAUUUUGUGCGAAGAUGACAAGCACGCAGAGAAGUGAGAGUGCAAAUCACAUGCUGAAAGCAUAUGUCCCAGCGAGCUGUCCUAUGCACUUAUUCGCCCGCCAAUACAUGAAACUACUGUUUGACCGUGAAGCAGUCAAAAACUAUGAGGAACGACGAACAAAAAUAACAGCUCCAGUCAUGAGGCUGAACAAACCUCUGGAACAGCAUGCCAGCACUGUUUACACGAGAGCUAUGUUCGAAAAGUUUGGUGACAUCCUCUACGAAGGUGGCCAAUACAGGGUGGAGGAAGUUGAGAAUAAAGUAAAAUACUUAGUACAUCGGUAUCAUCCAGAAAGAUAUGAGAAAUGGUGUCGGGUUGUGCAUGUCGUCCACGUAAUUGAUGCAGGUGCACAUGUGUCCUGUGAAUGUGGUAAUUUUGAACAUAUGGGUAUCCUGUGCUGUCAUGCUCUUAAGGUACUUGAGUUCAUGGGUUUUACUGAGAUCCCCGCAAAGCUCAUACUGAAGAGGUGGACAAAAGAUGCAAGAGAUGUGCUUCCAGAACAUCUAGCACAUCUACAGAAGGAUCGGAUAUCAGCGAAUUCAAUAACUUUCAGGCACCCCAACCUCUACAUGCACGCUAUGGAGGUUGUAAGGCUUGGUGAUGCAAACACAAAAGCAUACGAUAAGGCCAUGGAUUUGUUGAAGGCAGCAAUGCAAGAGCUGUCACCUAUAGCUGCCAUUCGAGAUGGGCUUGGCCUAGAAGACAAAGUGAAGGAAAUUAAAGCAGCACCAAAAGAUCAAGCUACUCUGAAAGGACAUGGCUGUGGAUAUGGAAGUGAUGCAGAAGGCAGUGGUAUUGGCAAUUUGUUGGGACUAACAGCUCCUGUGCACAAGCGCAAGCCUGGUCGACCUACCAACAGUAGGGACAAACCUCCAUACGAUGAUCGGGGAGCAAAAAACAAAAAGCCUAAGAAUAGUAAGAAAGUGGAUGCUGAAGGCGGGUGCGGAACAAGCAAACGAACCAGGUUUUGUAGCAUAUGCCGAGAACCAGGGCACAAGAGUACAACUUGCCCACAACGAGGCGACAUGCCUCCAAAGCAAAGGAAGGAAGCUAAGUGCACCAACUGUGGAGUAGGCGGUCAUCGAAAGAACACAUGCAACAAUCCAAAAGUUGUGCUUCAUGUUGUAGAAAAUGCUGGGCUUUGCUUAGCUGGAUAG